rnacentral:rRNA from 1 species
GAUGAACGCUGGCGGUGUGCCUAAUACAUGCAAGUCGAGCGAACAGACGAGGAGCUUACUCCUCUGACGUUAGCGGCGGACGGGUGAGUAACACGUGGAUAACCUACCUAUAAGACUGGGAUAACUUCGGGAAACCGGAGCUAAUACCGGAUAAUAUGUUGAACCGCAUGGUUCAACAGUGAAAGACGGUCUUGCUGUCACUUAUAGAUGGAUCCGCGUCGCAUUAGCUAGUUGGUAAGGUAACGGCUUACCAAGGCAACGAUGCGUAGCCGACCUGAGAGGGUGAUCGGCCACACUGGAACUGAGACACGGUCCAGACUCCUACGGGAGGCAGCAGUAGGGAAUCUUCCGCAAUGGGCGAAAGCCUGACGGAGCAACGCCGCGUGAGUGAAGAAGGUCUUCGGAUCGUAAAACUCUGUUAUUAGGGAAGAACAAAUGUGUAAGUAACUAUGCACGUCUUGACGGUACCUAAUCAGAAAGCCACGGCUAACUACGUG